GACGCGGCAGCGUGCGGGAGCAGCAGCCGCCUGAAUUCCACAGAUUGGUGCCGUUGUGGGUCAUGCGUCGCCAUGCCCACUGAAGAAGAGUGCCUCUGCUGUAAGGAGCUCCAGGGCACCGCUGAACCACUGAGCUUCUCGUGUAUCACGGAGCACGAAGAUUUCAAAUUGUUAUGCCUCAACCAAACCGUCCUUAAGGUGGCGUACUUUGAACUUCGGGGCCAGCGGGAACCGAUGAGCGCACAUAUUCACAAGAGAUACCGAUACACAGCAUACCGCCAGUUCGCGAGGUGGGUGUGGCACAAGCUUGGAAAAAACAAGCGCAUGGUGAUUCCAGCUUGUGCUGUGAACACCAUUCGCGAAGCCUUUCCAUCAGAGUCAAGGACAGGCUUCAGAUAUGCAAGGUACUAA